GGAGGAUUGACACAAAUGGUAGU
rnacentral:siRNA from 1 species